rnacentral:rRNA from 1 species
GACGAACGCUGGCGGCGUGCUUAACACAUGCAAGUCGAACGGAGUGGCGAACGGGUGAGUAACACGUGGGUGAUCUGCCUUGCACUUCGGGAUAAGCUUGGGAAACUGGGUCUAAUACCGGAUAGUGCAAGAUGAGCUCGCGGCCUAUCAGCUUGUUGGUGGGGUAAUGGCCUACCAAGGCGUCGAUGGGUAGCCGGCCUGAGAGGGUGUACGGCCACAUUGGGACUGCGAUACGGACCAGACGCCAACGGGGGGCAGCAGGGGUGAAUAUUGCACAAUGGGGGGAAGCCUGAUGCAGCGACGCCGCGAGGGGGAUGAAGGCUUUCGGGUUGUAAACUCCUUUAGACAGGUACGCGGUACCUGUAGAAGAAGCACCGGCUAACUACGUGCCAGCAGCCGCGGUAAUUC